UCCCAACAGGUUUCUGCCCGGGUUCACCGGCCGCAGUGCUCCUUUCGGCCCUGAGGGAAGCGCGGACUCGCCCUUGCUGCCCGCCCGGCGUUGCCUCAGCACAUCCCAGACCGUCGGAGGAGCCCCUAGAAGUGGCAGUGGGCGCAAUGGUGGCGGCGUGUGGCGGGGCCAUGCCCAGAAGCGCUCGCUCUCCCGGAGCGGUGGGAUUCUUUGGCGCCUUAAACCUGGGGUUCCAGAAGCUGUAGCCCCCGUUUCAAAAUCCGCCGGAAGCGCCCGACCCCCAGAAGUCGCGCUGUGCCCUGACUUGCCGGAGAGCGGGGGCCGCGCGGAGUUUCCGCGGGACUUCCUGCUGUGGAGGUUAAAGCACGGUUUGUCAAAACGCCUUAGAACUUGCGAUGCCGACCAUUCGCGUCGGGGUGGGGUCCCCAGAAGCAGACCCUGAGGUGAGGCUUCCUGUAAUCUUGGCUUAUUGGGAGGCGCAGGCUCGGCCAGUGAGGACUGGGAAGAAGAGGAGGCCAGCCCGGGUGAGCGUCGUGCAUAGGCCGCGGGGUGACCGGGUCCAGUCCUUCAGGGGAGUCUGGAACACGCUUGGAUCGGACUUCAGCGCCGUCCCGUCGGGGUGGAGGGAGCUGGGCCUUUUCUGCCUCAGCGGCUUUAAGACUGUUCCAGGAAGAGGUGAGCAGCGGCGGCCCUCGACCCAGAGAAGCAGAGGCCACAAGGAGCUGGGUGCGGGAAGGUGGUGAAGGGCCCAAAGGAUGCGUGCAUGGCCUCAGGAAGUGCCAGAAGAAAGCCUUAGUCUGAAUUUGAGAAUUUCUCCAGGUUUAACUUCUUGAGGGGGCGCCAAACUGUUUUCCAAAGCAGCUGCCUCAUUGUACAUUCCCAUUCUGCAUCUGUUCAUCCAUACAGUGAUACAUGACAGUUUCUCCACAUCCUUAUCAACACUUGUUAUUGGCCUUUUUUUUUAAAAUCAUAGUCAUAGCUGGUGGGUGUGAAGUGGUGUCGCUUUGUGGUUUUGGUAUGUAUUUCCUUGAUAAUUAAUGAUGUUAAACAUCACCUCACCUGCUUAAUGGCCCUUUGUGUAUCUUUGAAGAAAUAUCUAUUCAAAUCUUUUGCCCAUUUAAACAUUACUUGUCUUUUUA